rnacentral:rRNA from 1 species
AUUGAACGCUGGCGGCAGGCCUAACACAUGCAAGUCGAGCGGGGACUUCGGUCCUAGCGGCGAACGGGUGAGUAAUGCUUGGGAAUCUGCCCAGUAGUGGGGGAUAACGUCCCGAAAGGGACGCUAAUACCGCAUACGUCCUACGGGAGAAAGAGGGGGAUCUUCGGACCUCUCGCUAUUGGAUGAGCCCAAGUCGGAUUAGCUAGUUGGUAGGGUAAUGGCCUACCAAGGCGACGAUCCGUAGCUGGUCUGAGAGGAUGAUCAGCCACACUGGAACUGAGACACGGUCCAGACUCCUACGGGAGGCAGCAGUGGGGAAUAUUGGACAAUGGGCGAAAGCCUGAUCCAGCCAUGCCGCGUGUGUGAAGAAGGCCUUCGGGUUGUAAAGCACUUUAAGCGGGGAGGAAGGUUCGCGGCCUAAUACGUCGCGGAAUUGACGUUACCCGCAGAAUAAGCACCGGCUAACUCGGUG